AAAACAUAGUAUAAAAUAAUACAUUUCACUUACACUGAAAAUAUACUUUAAUAAUAAAGUUGUUUU
rnacentral:tRNA from 1 species